CGGCAUGCUUGCUAGCUGACUCUUGAAGAAGCUGCAAUGGGGUUGCAGAGGUCGCAGGUUCGAAUCCUGUCGUCCCGACCA
rnacentral:tRNA from 1 species